GCCAGGCAUGGUGGCUCAUGCCUGUGAUCCCAGCACUUUGGGAGGCCGAGGUGGGUGGAUCACCUGAGGUCAGGAGUACGAGACCAGCCUGACCAACAUGGUGAAAACCCAUCUCUA
ensembl:misc_RNA Metazoa_SRP Metazoan signal recognition particle RNA